rnacentral:rRNA from 1 species
GUCACGUGACAGUCAAUGCCCUAGUUGGGGUCCUCUCCCCCCUCAUUUUUCUUGCAUUUUGGGCCAACUUGGGUCAAACUGGUUUGGUCCUCCCUUGUCUGGUGAACUUGGUGAUGGCCCUUAAACCCUACUUUUGCGAAAAUUAUGCCCGCUGCUAGAACAGAGGUGGGUGAAAAAAAAACAUGUGACCACUCUUUUUUGGAGAAACAUGCCUCGUUUAACUCAAAGCAAGGAAGGCCAUCCUUUCCCGAUCGUGUAUUAUCUUCCCCCGUAUGUGUUGAUUUUUCAAAAACAAUCCUUGAUGAACAAAAAAGUUGUUUGGUAAAUGAAAAACCUGGGUAGGGGAUGGAUCGGUUGGUUCUCCCAUCGAGAAAGAACGUAAGAGAGGGAUUUAUUGCGAGUCACUUGCAUUCCGAACGAAUCAUGUACCUAUCGAACCCUCCUCGAGGCAAAUAUUCUACCUAGUACGCACGUUUCAUUCAGUUCAACUAGCUACCAAUCACUUCAGCUUGGUUGAAUGAACCUAAGCUGGAUGGGAAUGGGUUUGUGUUGAGGGCAUUCAUUUGCUGGGCCGGACGUAAAUGCAUUUAGUCCUAAGCGAUUUGUUUUAUUUAUUUGACGUAAGUACAAUCGAGAGUGACAGAAAACCAAUAACUUGGUGAGUGACUUCUUCCUUUUCAAUCAAUCCUUCCUUUCUUGAGGUUAGUCUUAAUCUUUACUGACGAGUGAAACGAUCUAACUUGGGCCCUUUCAUAUACACACUCACAUAUCUAUCUGCAAUCGACUGACAUCUCUCAUGAACUCAAAAAAAAAAAGAGGGAGAAAAAAGAAAAAUUCCCCUUGGGGGGGGGUUUCAACCCCCCCCUAGGGGGGUUGUUCCCUCCCCCGAGAAACUUCCCGUGGUUUGCAGAGGAGGCUGGUCAACUUGGUGGGCCACGCACUGCUGCUGUAUAUGAAGAUUGGCGCCAAAAGACCACCUCUUCUGAGAAAACUUUCGCCUACUACAUUGGGCGCUAUAAAGAGUAAUACUUGGACCGCUUUCAGGAUCUGAUCAUCAGCUCAGGAGCUUGGGCUUGGGGACACUGUACUAGGAAUCUAUGUCGUUUGUCAUUGAUCGAUGGAUAGGUGACGUAACCUAGAACACUCGGACUGACUCGGGUCAGACGUUACAGGGCAACUUGAACUGGCCAGUAUCCAGGAAUCCAGUGCGCACUCGGCGAAUACAUGUAGGUCUGACAGUAC